AACAUAUCCUUUGAUCUUGUUCUGUGUGAUUGCAGAAGGCAAAUGGACUGCAGCCACCGUUAUUCUGGUAAAAUAAAAACACAGUCAAAAGGUGGAGGAGGGGUUCAAUCAGAGCGCUAACACUGGAUGGCAUUGCUCAGAGCAUCAAGGAUCUGAGGCUCAGGAGAUGGUGCUCCUUAGAGAAGGUCCGAGUCUUCCAGCUUCCUGCUGCGGUUCCCUGUCCAGUCCCUAAUGACUUUGGAGUUGAACUAUGCUAAUUCCUGAACAAACGCUUCCAAGAGGGCAGCAAAUAGCCUCUGGGCCUCCUGGGCAACUGUGUUCUGAGUCUUUGGCCAAAAUAACAUAGAAGAACUGCUAUCAA